GACGAACGCUGGCGGCGUGCCUAAUACAUGCAAGUAGAACGCUGAAGGAAGGAGCUUGCUCUUUCCGGAUGAGUUGCGAACGGGUGAGUAACGCGUAGGUAACCUGCCUGGUAGCGGGGGAUAACUAUUGGAAACGAUAGCUAAUACCGCAUAACAGUAGAUAUCGCAUGAUAGCUGCUUGAAAGGUGCAAAUGCACCACUACCAGAUGGACCUGCGUUGUAUUAGCUAGUUGGUGAGGUAACGGCUCACCAAGGCAACGAUACAUAGCCGACCUGAGAGGGUGAUCGGCCACACUGGGACUGAGACACGGCCCAGACUCCUACGGGAGGCAGCAGUAGGGAAUCUUCGGCAAUGGACGGAAGUCUGACCGAGCAACGCCGCGUGAGUGAAGAAGGUUUUCGGAUCGUAAAGCUCUGUUGUAAGAGAAGAACGAGUGUGAGAGUGGAAAGUUCACACUGUGACGGUAUCUACCAGAAA
rnacentral:rRNA from 1 species